rnacentral:rRNA from 1 species
CCCGCUGAACUUAAGCAUAUCAAUAAGCGGAGGAAAAGAAACUAACAAGGAUUCCCCUAGUAACUGCGAGUGAAGCGGGAAAAGCUCAAAUUUGAAAUCUGGCGGUCCUUGGCCGUCCGAGUUGUAAUUUAGAGAAGUGUUACCCGUGCUGGACCGUAUACAAGUCCUCUGGAAUGGGGCGUCAUAGAGGGUGAGAAUCCCGUCUUUGAUACGGACUACCAGUGCAUUGUGGUGCGCUCUCAAAGAGUCGAGUUGUUUGGGAAUGCAGCUCAAAAUGGGUGGUAAAUUCCAUCUAAAGCUAAAUAUAGGCGAGAGACCGAUAGCGAACAAGUACCGUGAGGGAAAGAUGAAAAGAACUUUGGAAAGAGAGUUAAACAGUACGUGAAAUUGCUGAAAGGGAAACGCUUGAAGUCAGUCGCGUCGACUUGGAAUCAACCUUGCUUGCUUGGUGUACUUCCUUGUCGAUGGGUCAGCAUCAGUUUCGACCGCUGGAUAAAGGUCAUCGGAAUGUGGCACCUCCGGGUGUGUUAUAGCCUUUGAUCGUAUACAGCGGUUGGGACUGAGGAACUCAGCACGCCGCAAGGCCGGGUUUAACCACGUAACGUGCUUAGGAUGCUGGCAUAAUGGCUUUAAUCGACCCGUCUUGAAACACGG